rnacentral:rRNA from 1 species
GAUGAACGCUGGCGGCGUGCCUAAUACAUGCAAGUCGAGCGAACAGACGAGGAGCUUGCUCCUCUGACGUUAGCGGCGGACGGGUGAGUAACACGUGGAUAACCUACCUAUAAGACUGGGAUAACUUCGGGAAACCGGAGCUAAUACCGGAUAAUAUAUUGAACCGCAUGGUUCAAUAGUGAAAGACGGUUUUGCUGUCACUUAUAGAUGGAUCCGCGCCGCAUUAGCUAGUUGGUAAGGUAACGGCUUACCAAGGCAACGAUGCGUAGCCGACCUGAGAGGGUGAUCGGCCACACUGGAACUGAGACACGGUCCAGACUCCUACGGGAGGCAGCAGUAGGGAAUCUUCCGCAAUGGGCGAAAGCCUGAUGGAGCAACGCCGCGUGAGUGAUGAAGGUCUUCGGAUCGUAAAACUCUGUUAUUAGGGAAGAACAAAUGUGUAAGUAACUAUGCACGUCUUGACGGUACCUAAUCAGAAAGCCACGGCGAACUACGU